UACGAAGGGGGCUAGCGUUGCUCGGAAUCACUGGGCGUAAAGGGUGCGUAGGCGGUCUUUUAAGUCAGUGGUGAAAUCCUCCAGCUCAACUGGAGAACUGCCAUUGAUACUGGAGACUGAUGUAUAGUUGAGGUAGGCGGAAUUGACAGUGUAGCGGUGAAAUGCAUAGAUAUUGUCAAGAACACCGAUUGCGAAGGCAGCUUACUAAACUAUAACUGACGCUGAGGCACGAAAGUGCGGGAGUCAAACAGG
rnacentral:rRNA from 1 species